rnacentral:rRNA from 1 species
UACGUAGGGAGCGAGCGUUGUCCGGAAUCAUUGGGCGUAAAGAGCGCGUAGGUGGAUCAAUUAGUCUGCUGUGAAAGUCAAAGGCUCAACCUUUGAAAGCCGGUGGAUACUGUUGAUCUAGAGUACGGAAGAGGCGAGUGGAAUUCCUGGUGUAGCGGUGGAAUGCGCAGACAUCAGGAGGAACACCAAUAGCGAAGGCAGCUCGCUGGGACGUUACUGACGCUGAGGCGCGAAAGCGUGGGGAGCAAACAGG